GAUGAACGCUGGCGGCGUGCUUAACACAUGCAAGUCGAACGGGAUCCAAGGGGUGCUUGCACUUUUUGGUGAGAGUGGCGAACGGGUGAGUAACACGUGAGUAACCUGUCCUUUUCUUUGGGAUAAGCAUUCGAAAGGGUGUUUAAUACCUUAUGUUCUGUCUGCCUCGCAUGGGGUGGGUGGGAAAGGCUUUGGCCGGAUUUGGGUGGGCUCGCGGUCUAUCUGCUUGUUGGUGGGGUGAUGGCUUACCAAGGCUUUGACGGGUAGCCGGCCUGAGAGGGUGGUCGGUCACAUUGGGACUGAGAUACGGCCCAGACUCCUGCGGGAGGCAGCAGUGGGGGAUAUUGCACAAUGGGCGAAAGCCUGAUGCAGCGACGCCGCGUGGGGGAUGGAGGCCUUCGGGUUGUAAACUUCUUUUGCUCUGAACAAGGCAUGCCAGUGGGUGUGUUGAGUGUAGGGGUUGAUUAGCGCCGGCUAACUACGUG
rnacentral:rRNA from 1 species